rnacentral:lncRNA from 1 species
GUAAAACUUGCUUUUUAAUCUUCAGGCUCCCACUUCAGAUACGUGCAAAGCUACCAGAAUACAUGACAUCAUCCUUGGCUUCAGCCUUUGAAAGAGAAAUGGUGUUAAAAGUAUGAAAUUCUGGUAGCAAUGUCACACCCGAAGCUGAAGUUUAAAGCAAAACUGACAAUAAAAUCAACUGUCAGGAAAUGGACUAUUUUUUAAAUUAGACGUCUAUCAUGUCAGCCUUGGGUUAAUCUCUGGAGCCAGCUCAAGGAUGGAUGAGCGAUCUCCAUGGUCUUCUGCAUAAUCUUGGUUGCCAAGUUCCAUCCACCCUUUCCAGGAACCUUCCCAGGGGUCCAUGAUGCAGCCUUGUCCACAACGCUCUCCACAGACCGCCGUCACUGCUUCGAGCUUGUGAAAGGUAUUCAUUCGUCUCAGUUGUUUGUCGUGUAUUUGUCCUUCGGGUAGUGGUUUAUCUUCAGAGGUGCGUGCGGUGUCUGUAAGAUGCAUUACCAAGAUGAAGAGGAGCCAACGCACUCACAGAUGGUGAAGCCAAGAAGGGAAUCGGGAAAACUGAGAUUCAGACAUGAAAAGAGAGCUCUGCCACUCCUAAUUCUGGGAGUAAGGAAGUCUGUGAAAGCGGGAAGCUGGAGAAAGAUGCAUUAUAU